UCCGAGUUGACCCCGGCGGUCUCCCGUGAGUCCCCAACCUCCGAAGAGUUACUGGCAACACGGGACAAGGGUUGCGCUCGUUGCGGGACUUAACCCAACAUCUCACGACACGAGCUGACGACAGCCAUGCACCACCUGUACACCGACCACAAGGGGGACCGUGUCUCCACGGUUUUCCGGUGUAUGUCAAGCCUUGGUAAGGUUCUUCGCGUUGCGUCGAAUUAAACCACAUGCUCCACCGCUUGUGCGGGUCCCCGUCAAUUCCUUUGAGUUUUAGCCUUGCGGCCGUACUCCCCAGGCGGGGCGCUUAAUGCGUUAGCUACGGCACGGACCCCAUGAAACAAGGACCCACACCUAGCGCCCAACGUUUACGGCGUGGACUAC
rnacentral:misc_RNA from 1 species